rnacentral:lncRNA from 1 species
CUUUGCUGCAGUAAUGGUGACCUUGUGUUUAUCAGUGCAGUGGUGACACCUGUACUGGCUGUGCACUGGGCAGUUCAGAGGCUCUGCUGUUCUUCACCUCUUGGGUAUGGUGAGGAGGUCUGGAACUAGCUGUGGCUACUGAGCUUUUCAUGGCUGUCCCACAAACUUCCUUGGGCAUCUAUGCAACUGAUAAGGAAGGAGCAUCUGAGGUCUCUGGUUGCUCUUUGUAGCAGAGGAGGUCAGUGCAGAACACAGACAUCAAAUCACAAGUUUUCUGUAUGCUGUGAGUUCCAUAAAAGCUGCUGAAAUGUUGAUCGUUAUUUGUGGCAUUGUGCAGUAAAACUGGAUGAAGCUUUUUCCAGACUGUUCAUCUCCGGGGAGACUGUAAUUGAAAUAGUGAACCUGGGCACAUUUUUAGACCGGACUGGCUAGAUUCACUGCUGAUGUAAGGUGGCAAGAAUCCAUUUAUAGAUCUAUCUGACUUUAACUCAUCCUUUGGCAGAAGAGGAUUUGGACCUUCAAAGAUAGCAAGAUAAAGAAAAGCAGGUCAGAAAGUUGAGAAGAGCACCUCAGGAAAUAGCAUAGAAAAUUUUUUAAGAUAAAUAUCCAGCUGAACACACCUUUAAAGGUUAACACUUUGGCUUAGAUGGGGAAAAAUGGAGGGGUACGGAGGAGAGGAUAAUCUCUAUAUAGGAUCUUUCUGUGUUUGUUGUUGUUACUGUUGUGUGUUUCUUUUUAUUGAAAGGCAUAAAAGACAGAAAAAAAAACAGAUUCACACCUAAUGCUCUGAAGCAAGCUUAGGAGUCCUGUGUAUAGUAGCCACCCAUGCCAUCACCAUGUAUGUGCACAGUUAGACUAAUACAUCCUCCAAAUAUCACAGGACGAUGGUAGGCAAAUCUGUGAAAAACAGCAUGGGGAGCUGGAUACCACAGAGAGAGAGGACUGUGAGAGAUGUGUAGAGAGUGUACUUCUUCAAAAGAGAAGGCAUUAUUGAAGUGAUUUUUUGGGGGGGA